rnacentral:rRNA from 1 species
UACGAAGGGGGCUAGCGUUGUUCGGAAUUACUGGGCGUAAAGGGCGCGUAGGCGGUGUGUCAAGUCAGGCGUGAAAGCCCCGGGCUCAACCUGGGAACCGCGCUUGAGACUGGCACGCUAGAGUUCGGGAGAGGAGCGUGGAAUUCCCAGUGUAGAGGUGAAAUUCGUAGAUAUUGGGAAGAACACCGGUGGCGAAGGCGGCGCUCUGGACCGAGACUGACGCUGAGGCGCGAAAGCGUGGGGAGCAAACAGG